CCCAUUUCUCCCUAUCUCGCUUCCUGAAUCCUCUCUCUCUCCCCUAGGGUUUCUAUGGCGGACAGCGAUUUUGGUGGCGGAGGUCGAGCGCGGAGAAGACGUGCUGCUCGUCGCCGGAUGGCGAGAGCGCGCGGACGAAGGCUCGCUCGUUGGCGUAGGGCUGGCUGCGCGUUAGUGCGGCGAGCGCUGCAUCGGGGAGCGAGUCUACCGGUCGUGGGCGACGAGGUUGAUUUCGGCGGCGCAGGUCAAGAGCGGAGAAGACGUGCUGCUCGUCGACCGAAAUCGAGAGCGCGCUGAUGGUAGGCUCGCUCGUCGGCGGAGUUUCUAGCGCGUGGUACUGCUGAGAUCAGAGAUCCAGGCUACCGGACGGGCGUCGAGCCCUGCGUCAUUGUGCGCGGCACGGUGGGGACCAAUAAGGCAGAGGUCUAGUUGUGCGCGACGGCGGGGUGCGGGCUCAUGAAGAUCUCCGUGAAAUCUCCCGUUACAGAGGUAUUUCAUACUGCAAAUCUUCCGCAAUUACUUCCUAUUCAGUGUGUUGAGGUGCAAUACAUGGCCAUAUCCGCACUACUUUCGUCUAGAUCUAGCUACUGGUGACUAUGUCCCGUUCGUUUGUGUUUGUCCAUGACCCGUAGUACAUGUUCGAACCACAGGGAAGUACAUGUCCUGUAAAUGUUCAUGUCGAUAUAGCAAAUUCCUCUUUGAGGUAGUUGUAAUUUUUGGGCUAUUUUUGUUGUUGUUGUUAUGCAUAUGACUUGUGUAGCACAAAUAUGAUGGCUAAAUUGGUUAGAAAACAUAGCACUAGGGGUGUUCCAUUAGGUUAUCAGCAGCAAAUGCACUUUAAACUACAUACCUUUUUUUUGCAGGUACACUUUAAACUACAUACUAGUAUGGUUGCAAAGCAGCGGGGGAUGUCAUGCUUGCCACCCCACUUAGUAGAAAUUUGAACUAGUUCCAUUUGUUAAGUUCCUUAGUAUACUGGUUUGCAAAUUUCGAAUGGACUGUUAAUUUGGAUAGCUUUUUUUCAGUUAAACGUGAGUUGUACAAAUAUUUGCAAGUUCUUCUUUUUUAAGGUGCCCACUCAUGUUAUUGUAAGUCACCCUCAUACUCUAUAGAUAGGUUUUGUGGUUUUCUGAACUUGGCUUCGGAACAUGGUUAAGUUUUUCUCUGAACCUAGGUAAGUUGGCCUGCAAAAAUGUUCUAAUUCGUUUCCUGAAUCCAAGCCUUUUGGCUUCUCAGAUCAUGGUUAAGUCUUGUUUCCUGUAUAAAACUAAAGUUGGAUUCUGAACAUGUUUAAUUUGUUUACUGAAUCAAAGUGUUUUGUUUUAGCUGAACUUGGUUAAGUUUUGUUUUUCAUACACAAAAGUAAAGUUGGAUUCUCGGCAUGGUUAAUUUGUUUACUGAAUCAAAGUUUUUUGGCUUAGCUGAAUUUGGUUAAGUUUGUUUUAAAAUAAAGUUGCCUACAACUUCAUAUUAAGUUGCAUCGUGCCGAUUCCAUAGUUGAUUCCCAGGUUAUCAUUUUCAGUCUGUUAGCUUGUUUAGCUAUGGUAUGAGGAUUUUUUAUGUUAAAUACUGCAUCAGCAUUUGAUGCAGGAAACAAUGAAUAAGGUGAAUGACAGGCAGUCCCGACUGCGGUUACCACAGGCUGCUGAAGGAGGACAGUAAUUCUGUAUCGGGAUUUAUAGCAUAUGCUAUAUGUGCAGCUGAUGAGUCUCCGAGAGAUGCAAAUUGUCUACCUUCGGAAGAUGACAAGAAGGAACUAACCGUACCAAUUUCAUUUGGUGGAAGCUCUUUUCAUUCCUGUAUUUUAUCUCUGAGCUAAUGGAUCUGUCUACAGAUUUAUCAGGGUGUUCAGUGUUCAAUUGGCGGGGGGAAUCCUAAUCAUCUCAGACAUUUAGAUGCAUCACAGAUGAUCACUGAAAAUUUUUCAAGUUUCUGUAUCAAAGGGAAAACAUUACCGGUCUGUGGGCGUCAACGUGAGCAACAGGAAACGUUAUCCUACGACAGCACUAUGUACAAAAAAUAGGCAACCAUCGUCUUCUUUUUAUCUAUCUGCUAGUGUAAACUGUAGCUAAUUAAGAACAAUGGCUUAGUGUAUUUUGCAAAAUACCCGAGGUGUCGCAGCAAGUUACCUUUUCGUUUCAAGUUUCUUGUAGUCCAGUACCCGUAAUACUUUCGCCCACACAAAUAUCAAUGACCCUUAAAAUGUUCGAACCUGGGAAGUGUCUUGUUAA